rnacentral:rRNA from 1 species
UACGUGAAACCGCUCAGAGGUAAACGGGUGGAUCCGCAAAAGUCGGACGGCAGAAUUCAGCGCGGCGCGCGGCUCCGGGGCUGCUGUAGUCUGGGAUCCCUUGGACCCGACUGCGGUGCUGCGCCGGGCCCCGCCGUGUGCACUUUCUGCCGGCAGAGAGCCACAACCGGUUCGGCGUUGUGGCGGUGAGAUGUCAGGUGGGGUUGUAGGUGGGGGCGCUUGCGUCCCUACCAGCCCUGCUUGUCGAGCCGCCUCCGGACCGAGGAACUGCCACGCGCUUCGAGGCCACCCUCCUCUCGGGGUGAGUUCGACUGGGAGAGACUGGGCAACCGUGUYUCCUGAACGCUUACUUUCGAUCAGCGCGGGGCUGGCCGGGCGCAUU